UCUAGAACUCGAGAUAUGGGCUAAACACUGAAUAGUGUCUGGGCUACGGGAUAUAUUCUGACUUCUCUGUUGUUGCUACAAUUUGAACUUGAAAACGAUCCUUUUGAAUCUUGGACUCUUCAUGAAAGUUUUAGGCCUAUGUCUUAGCUUUCCAUG
rfam:Populus trichocarpa scaffold_15_contig_138, whole genome shotgun sequence.